AUUUUAAAAAUAUUUAAAUAAAACGCCAUUUCCUUUUCAUAUUAAGCAGUGCUGGUUUUUAUGCAGUUGCAUGGGUUAUCUGGUUAUCUGUAGUUGGAAGAAUGUUUCUGAUGUGAUAUUUAUAUAAAUAAAUCGUAUGUGCUUGAUGUUGGAUGAUGUAUGACUUACCACUUGUGUGUACUUACUCUGCUACAUCUCGGAUAUCUUUUUGGAAAGUCACUGAAUCGAUCACAUAAACAAGACCUUUUGCGGAUAACUUGAAUUGAUCAAAAAAUUUAUAACGCAGGCGUUCAUGUCCAGGUAUAUCAACAAUCUUUAAGGACCGCUAAAUAAAUUAACACUUUAGAGGCCUAUGUUUCUGAUGUGUGUGUCUUAACAAAUUUAGAACAAAGUAGACGUGCAUAUAUCAGUGUUUUACCAGCAUCACUAAGUCCAGUUAAUAAUAUACUGUUUCCUAUAGACCUUCUCCUGUGCCAUAUGGCAAAUAACACUAAGCAAAAGA